UACGGAGGGGACUAGCGUUGUUCGGAAUUACUGGGCGUAAAGGGCCAGUAGGCGGCCAACUAAGUCACACGUGAAAUCCCCAGGCUUAACCUGGGAACUGCGUGUGAUACUGGAUGGCUUGAAUUCGGGAGAGGGAUGCAGAAUUCCAGGUGUAGCGGUGAAAUGCGUAGAUAUCUGGAGGAAUACCGGUGGCGAAGGCGGCGAUCUGGGCAGAUACUGACGCUGAGGUGCGAAAGCGUGGGGAGCAAACAGG
rnacentral:rRNA from 1 species